UAUACUUUAUUAUAAGAUGUAUUAAAGUUUUUGAUUCUUUAGGUGAUAGUUUAAUUCUAUUAAGUAUAA
rnacentral:tRNA from 1 species